rnacentral:rRNA from 1 species
GACGAACGCUGGCGGCGUGCCUAAUACAUGCAAGUCGAACGCUUCUUUUUCCACCGGAGCUUGCUCCACCGGAAAAAGAGGAGUGGCGAACGAGUGAGUAACACGUGGGUAACCUGCCCAUCAGAAGGGGAUAACACUUGGAAACAGGUGCUAAUGCCGUAUAACAAUCGAAACCGCAUGGUUUUGAUUUGAAAGGCGCUUUCGGGUGUCGCUGAUGGAUGGACCCGCGGUGCAUUAGCUAGUUGGUGAGGUAACGGCUCACCAAGGCAACGAUGCAUAGCCGACCUGAGAGGGUGAUCGGCCACAUUGGGACUGAGACACGGCCCAAACUCCUACGGGAGGCAGCAGUAGGGAAUCUUCGGCAAUGGACGAAAGUCUGACCGAGCAACGCCGCGUGAGUGAAGAAGGUUUUCGGAUCGUAAAACUCUGUUGUUAGAGAAGAACAAGGAUGAGAGUAACUGUUCAUCCCUUGACGGUAUCUAACCAGAAAGCCACGGCUAACUACGUGCCAGCCGCCGCAGAA